rnacentral:rRNA from 1 species
GCUGGCGGCGUGCCUAAUACAUGCAAGUCGAACGAACUCUGGUAUUGAUUGGUGCUUGCAUCAUGAUUUACAUUUGAGUGAGUGGCGAACUGGUGAGUAACACGUGGGAAACCUGCCCAGAAGCGGGGGAUAACACCUGGAAACAGAUGCUAAUACCGCAUAACAACUUGGACCGCAUGGUCCGAGUUUGAAAGAUGGCUUCGGCUAUCACUUUUGGAUGGUCCCGCGGCGUAUUAGCUAGAUGGUGGGGUAACGGCUCACCAUGGCAAUGAUACGUAGCCGACCUGAGAGGGUAAUCGGCCACAUUGGGACUGAGACACGGCCCAAACUCCUACGGGAGGCAGCAGUAGGGAAUCUUCCACAAUGGACGAAAGUCUGAUGGAGCAACGCCGCGUGAGUGAAGAAGGGUUUCGGCUCGUAAAACUCUGUUGUUAAAGAAGAACAUAUCUGAGAGUAACUGUUCAGGUAUUGACGGUAUUUAACCAGAAAGCCACGGCUAACUACGUGCCAGCAGCCGCGGUAAUACGUAGGUGGCAAGCGUUGUCCGGAUUUAUUGGGCGUAAAGCGAGCGCAGGCGGUUUUUUAAGUCUGAUGUGAAAGCCUUCGGCUCAACCGAAGAAGUGCAUCGGAAACUGGGAAACUUGAGUGCAGAAGAGGACAGUGGAACUCCAUGUGUAGCGGUGAAAUGCGAGAUAUAUGGAAGAACACCAGUGGCGAAGGCGGCUGUCUGGUCUGUAACUGACGCUGAGGCUCGAAAGUAUGGGUAGCAAACAGGAUUAGAUACCCUGGUAGUCCAUACCGUAAACGAUGAAUGCUAAGUGUUGGAGGGUUUCCGCCCUUCAGUGCUGCAGCUAACGCAUUAAGCAUUCCGCCUGGGGAGUACGGCCGCAAGGCUGAAACUCAAAGGAAUUGACGGGGGCCCGCACAAGCGGUGGAGCAUGUGGUUUAAUUCGAAGCUACGCGAAGAACCUUACCAGGU